GACGAACGCUGGCGGCGUGCUUAACACAUGCAAGUCGAACGGAAAGGCCUCUUUCGGGGGGUACUCGCGAGGCGCACGGGUGAGUAAAACGUGAGUAACAUGCCCUUGACUCUGGGAUAACUCCAGGAAACUGGGGCUCAUACCGGAUAGGAGCUCCUGCUGCACGGUGGGGGUUGGAAAGUUUCGGCGGUUGGGGAUGGACUCGCGGCUCAUCAGCUCGUUGGUGGGGUAGUGGCUUACCAAGGCUUUGUCGGGUAGCCGGGCUUGGAGGGUGACCGGGCACAUUUGGGCUUGGAUUCGGCCCAGACUCCUACGGGGGGCAGGAGUUGGGGAUAUUUCACAAUUGGGCGGAAGCUGAUGCAGCAACGGCGGGGUCGGGAUGACGGGCGUCGGGUUGGAAACCGCUCUCGCUCAGUACGAAAGUGUGUGUGACGGUAGUGGGUAAAGAAGCACCGGCUAACUACGUG
rnacentral:rRNA from 1 species